GAUGAACGCUGGCGGCGUGCCUAAUACAUGCAAGUCGAGCGAACAGACGAGGAGCUUGCUCCUCUGACGUUAGCGGCGGACGGGUGAGUAACACGUGGAUAACCUACCUAUAAGACUGGGAUAACUUCGGGAAACCGGAGCUAAUACCGGAUAAUAUAUUGAACCGCAUGGUUCAAUAGUGAAAGACGGUUUUGCUGUCACUUAUAGAUGGAUCCGCGCCGCAUUAGCUAGUUGGUAAGGUAACGGCUUAACAAGGCAACGAUGCGUAGCCGACCUGAGAGGGUGAUCCGCCACACUGGAACUGAGACACGUUCCAGACUCCUACGGGAGGCAGCAGUAGGGACUCUUCCGCAAUGGGCGAAAGCCUGACGUAGCAACGCCGCGUGAGUGAUGAAGGUCUUCGGAUCGUAAAACUCUGUUAUUAGGGAAGAACAAAUGUGUAAGUAACUAUGCACGUCUUGACGGUACCUACUCAGAAAGCCACGGCUAACUACGUG
rnacentral:rRNA from 1 species